ACGAACGCUGGCGGCGUGCUUAACACAUGCAAGUCGAACGAUGACGACCGAGCUUGCUCGGUCUGAUUAGUGGCGAACGGGUGAGUAACACGUGAGCAACCUGCCCUUCACUCUGGGAUAACCUCGGGAAAUCGGGGCUAAUACCGGAUAUGAGCUCCUGUCGCAUGGCGGGUGUUGGAAAGUUUUUCGGUGAAGGAUGGGCUCGCGGCCUAUCAGUUUGUUGGUGAGGUAGUGGCUCACCAAGGCGAUGACGGGUAGCCGGCCUGAGAGGGCGACCGGCCACGCUGGGACUGAGACACGGCCCAGACUCCUACGGGAGGCAGCAGUGGGGAAUAUUGCACAAUGGGCGAAAGCCUGAUGCAGCGACGCCGCGUGAGGGAUGACGGCCUUCGGGUUGUAAACCUCUUUCAGCAGGGAAGAAGCGAAAGUGACGGUACCUGCAGAAGAAGCGCCGGCUAACUACGUG
rnacentral:rRNA from 1 species